GUGCCUUCACUGAUCUUCGUUGCCUCACCGACUCCAGUGUCAGAGGGUCCUGCACUGGUAGGUCCCAAUGAGCCGGGUACGAGUGAGGCAGAUCUCAAUAAGGUGGGUCCCAUUGGUAUUAAUUAUUAUACUUUAUAUAUAAUAAAAUUUGAUUCUUUUGUUUGGAUCAUACUAAUGAUUUAUUUAUUGUUGUUUUAAGUUAGUCUACAUCGAUGGUCAGGCGAGGGCGAGGUCCAUCGAAGAACCUCACUUUAGAGCAUUGGAGAAGCAAGUACCCGGGACAGCAUCUCC
rnacentral:lncRNA from 1 species